rnacentral:rRNA from 1 species
AAUGAACGCUGGCGGCAUGCCUAACACAUGCAAGUCGAACGAGACCCUGACUUCGGUUGGACGUCUAGUGGCGCACGGGUGCGUAACGCGUGGGAAUCUGCCCUUUGCUUCGGAAUAACAGUUAGAAAUGACUGCUAAUACCGGAUGAUGUCUUCGGACCAAAGAUUUAUCGGCAAAGGAUGAGCCCGCGUAAGAUUAGCUAGUUGGUGAGGUAAUGGCUCACCAAGGCGACGAUCUUUAGCUGGUCUGAGAGGAUGAUCAGCCACACUGGGACUGAGACACGGCCCAGACUCCUACGGGAGGCAGCAGUGGGGAAUAUUGGGACAAUGGGCGAAAGCCUGAUCCAGCAAUGCCGCGUGAGUGAUGAAGGCCUUAGGGUUGUAAAGCUCUUUUACCAGGGAUGAUAAUGACAGUACCUGGAGAAUAAGCUCCGGCUAACUCCCUGCC